rnacentral:rRNA from 1 species
GAGUUUGAUCAUGGCUCAGGAUGAACGCUAGCGGCAGGCCUAAUACAUGCAAGUCGAACGGUAACAUUGGUGCUUGCACCAGAUGACGAGUGGCGCACGGGUGCGUAACGCGUAUGCAAUCUACCUUUUACUAGAGUAUAGCCCAGAGAAAUUUGGAUUAAUCCUCUAUAAUAUCUUUUAAUUUCAUGAUUUUAAGAUUAAAGUUUUAACGGUAAAAGAUGAGCAUGCGUCCUAUUAGUUUGUAGGUGAGGUAACGGCUCACCUAGACUACGAUAGGUAGGGGCCCUGAGAGGGGGAUCCCCCACACUGGUACUGAGACACGGACCAGACUCCUACGGGAGGCAGCAGUAAGGAAUAUUGGACAAUGGACGAAAGUCUGAUCCAGCCAUGCCGCGUGCAGGAUGAAAGCCCUACGGGUUGUAAACUGCUUUUAUACAGGAAGAAACACUCCGACGUGUCGGAGCUUGACGGUACUGUACGAAUAAGGAUCGGCUAACUCCGUGCCAGCAGCCGCGGUAAUACGGAGGAUCCAAGCGUUAUCCGGAAUCAUUGGGUUUAAAGGGUCCGUAGCGGUUUUUUAAGUCAGAGGUGAAAUCCUGCAGCUCAACUGUAGCAUUGCCUUUGAUACUGAAAGACUUGAGUUAUUGUGAAGUAGUUAGAAUGUGUAGUGUAGCGGUGAAAUG